rnacentral:rRNA from 1 species
UACAGAGGUGGCAAGCGUUGUUCGGAAUUACUGGGCGUAAAGAGCGCGCAGGCGGUCGUUCAAGUCGAGUGUGAAAGCCCCCGGCUCAACUGGGGAGGGUCACUCGAUACUGAUCGACUUGAAGGCAGGAGAGGGAAGCGGAAUUCCCGGUGUAGUGGUGAAAUGCGUAGAUAUCGAGAGGAACACCUGCGGCGAAGGCGGGUUGCUGGGCUGACACUGACGCUGAGGCGCGAAAGCCAGGGGAGCGAACGGG